rnacentral:lncRNA from 1 species
UUCUGAGCCCUCCAAACUAUUCCAACCUCUGCCUGUUACCCAGUUCCAACACCGCUUCCACAUUUUGGGUUAUCCUUAUAGCAGUGCCCCACUCCUGGUACCAAUUAUCUGUAGUAGGCUGUUUUUACACUCUAUGAAGAAAUACCUGAGACUGGGUAAUUUAUAAAUAAGUUUAAUUGAUUCAUAAUUCUACAUGGCUCAGGAGGCCUCAGGACUUACAAUCAUGGCAGAAGGCAAAGGAGAAGCAAGCACCUUCUUCACAGGUGUCAGGAGACGGCACGUGCACAGGGGAAACUGCCACUUUUAAGAUCAUCAGAUCUUGUGAGAACUCCCUCACUAUCAUGAGAACAGGAUGGGAGAACUGCCCCCAUGAUCCAAUCACCUCCCACCAGGUCCCUCCCUCAACACGUGGGAAGUAUAAUUCAAGAUGAGAUUUGGGUGGGACACAGAGCCAAACCUUAUCACAUACCAAACAUGCUCCGGCCUUGGGAUCUCUGAACUGGCUGUCCGUUUUCCCAAAUCACAUUCUCUUUAAUAAAUAUCUACGUAUCUAGUUCCCACAUCUCCUUCAGAUCUUUAAUCAAAUAGUACUUUUUCUGUGAAAUUUUCCCUGACCAGCAACUUACUUGGCAAUUCCUAAUUCUUCUGCAACACUGUUUCUAUCCAUAGUAUUUUUAAUUAAUAUAUUUUUAUCUGUUUUCUUCCUAUCUCCCUUCACCCGAAUAUAAGCUCUAUGAUACAAAUUUUUACCUGUUUUCUUCACAUCUAAAUUCCCAUUACUUAAAAAUGCCUGAUAAAUAGAAGACCCCCCCCAAAAUAUAUACAUUUCUACUGUAAUACUAUAUACAUGCUUUGGAAAACCUUGUGUUCUGCAAAAUUAUGCAUUAAAAUUAACUUACAGAAAAAAACAGGAUUGGAACAGAUCACUGACAUUUAUGCAACUCUGUAAGCCGAGCAUUAACAAAUACAUUAAUUGGUAGUCAGGGAGAUGGCUUGAAUCUCCUAAAUAGAAAGCUUGGUACAGCCGAAGGCUGCCUCUGGGGAUACCAAAAGAAAAAUCGCCAAAACCAGAAAAGUGGAAACGCUUGCUUGUUGGAUGUCCCAAGACAAUGCAGUUAGAAGGUUGUUAUUAGGUGGGUAUGAGAACAAAUGUGGCCUGUCAUAAGGCAAAAGCCUUACAACAAUACUGAAAGAACUCUUGUCUGAACUGUAACCAAGCUAAGGGCUCUUUCUUUUCAUGUUUAAGAUUAAAAUUCUAUUCCUGUUGUUCCAGCUCCUCCUGCCUAUAAAAUAAUUGCAGGGGGGCCGAUAUAACUUCUACAUUAUACUGUCAGUAGUCCUCAUUUAUCUAUGAGUAAAGAAGUGUUACAGAAACAUAUUACAGGAGAUGAGACUCUACUUUCUUUCAAAGAGUGAAAGAAAUGGUUUCCUUUUAAAGGAGCUUUAAAUCAUUACAAGAGUACAAAUGUGAAAAAAUAAAACAAAGAUACAAAUGCUUAUUACAAAUUAUAGGUCACAAUUGUAGAACAUGCCCAAUAAAUAUAAACUAUCUGAAAACAUAAUAUUAUAUACUUAAGCUGUUUUAAAAGACAUUACUUACAGAAAUUUCAGGGUUAGAAAGCUCAGAUAAAAG